rnacentral:misc_RNA from 1 species
UCGCGCCUUGCGGCGGCAGUUUCACUAGGGUUCCCAGCAUUACCUGAUGGCAACUAGUGAUAGGGGUUGCGCCCGUUGCGGGACUUAACCCAACACCUCACGGCACGAGCUGACGACAGCCAUGCAGCACCUAUAUAGAGGCCCUUGCGGGAAACAACAUCUCUGUUGUCGCCCUCUACAUUUCGAGCCCAGGUAAGGUUCUUCGCGUUGCAUCGAAUUAAACCACAUGCUCCACUGCUUGUGCGGGCCCCCGUCAAUUCUUUUGAGUUUCACCCUUGCGAGCGUACUCCCCAGGCGGCAUACUUAAUGCGUUAGCUCCGGUACAGAGGGGGUUGAUCCCUCCUACACCUAGUAUGCAUCGUUUAAGGCAUGGACUAC